rnacentral:rRNA from 1 species
AGAGUUUGAUCCUGGCUCAGAACGAACGCUGGCGGCGUGCUUAACACAUGCAAGUCGAACGCGAAAGGGACUUCGGUCCUGAGUAAAGUGGCGCACGGGUGAGUAACGCGUGGAUAAUCUACCCAAUGAUCCGGGAUAACAUUUCGAAAGGGGUGCUAAUACCGGAUAAGACCACGGAGUCUCUGGAUUCUGCGGUAAAAGGUGGGGACCUUCGGGCCUACCGUCAUCGGAUGAGUCCGCGUACCAUUAGCUAGUUGGCAGGGUAAUGGCCUACCAAGGCAACGAUGGUUAGCUGGUCUGAGAGGAUGAUCAGCCACACUGGAACUGAGACACGGUCCAGACUCCUACGGGAGGCAGCAGUGGGGAAUUUUGCGCAAUGGGGGAAACCCUGACGCAGCAACGCCGCGUGAGUGAUGAAGGCUUUCGGGUCGUAAAGCUCUGUCAGAAGGGAAGAAAUGUGGGUGGCUAAUAUCCAUACCACCUGACGGUACCUUCAAAGGAAGCACCGGCUAACUCCGUGCCANNNNCCGCGGUAAUACGGAGGGUGCGAGCGUUGUUCGGAAUUAUUGGGCGUAAAGAGCGUGUAGGCGGCCUGAUGUGUCAGAUGUGAAAGCCCUGGGCUUAACCCAGGAAGUGCAUUUGAAACUGUCAGGCUUGAGUAGGGGAGAGGGAAGUGGAAUUCCUGGUGUAGAGGUGAAAUUCGUAGAUAUCAGGAGGAACACCGGUGGCGAANGCGACUUCCUGGCCCUAUACUGACGCUGAGACGCGAGAGCGUGGGUAGCAAACAGGAUUAGAUACCCUGGUAGUC